CUUAAUUAAAAAGAUAAGAGGAAUCUUUUUGGAGCAAUCAGCACCUGAAGAGGUAUCUGUGGAGUUUUCACAAGUGGAUAGUUUGUGGUCAUCACCACUUAUGAAAAGAGAGUGUUCACUAAGAACUCUAACUCCCAAUGGAAACUAAGGAAUUAUCUGCAAUAGGGAAAGAUUGAGGGGUUUUGUACUGAGAAAAGAUAUAACAAAUAGUGUUGUAGUAUUUAUAAUUUGAAGGAGAUGUGUGUCAGUGUUCAUCAACUUCUUAAUUAUUGCCCUUCUAAGGAGCCUUUGUAGACAUAUCUUUCUAAUAGUCCAAAGGUUUCCCAGCAGCCUCAUUCAUUGUCUAUUGCACCUUGUUUCUAUCAAUGGCCAUCAUAGUCUUGUUGCUUAUCUUCUUUAAUUUCCUUAGUGUGUUUGAGCCCUGAGUAGCUGUUGAGAUAAAGCAAUCUAACAUCAUUAGGCACUUGGUGAGGAUCACAGGAGUGAAAUUGCAAAAAAAAAAAAAAAAAAAAAAAAAAAAAAAAAAAAAACAAUUUUUUAAAAUGGGAGGAGAAUAUAUUGCUUAUACAAAACUGCUACAAAUUGAUUAUAUAGGAAAAAAAGAAAAUGCUUCCUUAUUUUCCCCAUGCACAAAAUUCAAGAAAGAUAAAAAUACGUAAAUGUAAAAAAAAAAUCAAGAAAUUAAAGUAUUAAGGAGAAAAUAUAGGGGACUAUAUAACAAUGAGCUAGGGAAAAAUCAAACAAGAUACAAAAAGCAUAAGUCAUAAAGAAAAAAAGAACAAUAAACUAUUCUACUUUAAACUACUACCAAUUCUGAUAAAGUAAAAAGAUAAAUCACAGGGCAAGAUACUUACCAUACUUAUAACCAUUAAAUAAUUAUUUCCAAGUACAUAGAAAAAGCCCUCAAAAGAAAGAAAAAAAGUUGGAAUAUAAUCUCACAACAUUGUAUUUCCCAAAACUAAAAAGUCUAGCCAUACAAAGUGUUAAGGAAGAUCAGAAUGAUGGGAACAGUUAGAUAAGGUUAGUGAAAUUGUGAAAUGGUACAACUCCUUUAGAGAGUAAUUCAUAAUUUCAGAACACAAUUGCUGUGACUUGGUAAUUUCACAUGCACAUAAACAAAAUGUACAGUAUGUUAUUCAUGAGCAUUGUUUGUAAUAGCAAAAACUUGGAAACAAUGUCAGUUAAUAGGUGAGGGUAUGUAUUUGGAGGUUCCACGACCACCCUCAGGUUCUAUGAUUUGCUAGAAGGACUCUUUACAGAACUCUUCAAAGCUGUUAUACUCAUGGUUAUGGCUAAUUACAGUUAAAGGAUAAAGAUUAAAGUUAGCAAUAGAAAAAGGCACGUUAGACAGAGUCCAGAAGACAAUAGGCAUGAGUUUCCAGUUGUUCUCUACCACUGGAGUAGUAUAAGCAGCACUUACUUAUCUCAGCAACAAUGUGUGACAAAAUACUGCCAACUAGGGAAGCUCACCUGAGUCUUGCUGUCCAAAAUAUUUAUUGGGGUUGAUCCACUAAGCUUGGCUGACUGCUUUUAUGGCUGAUUUUAGGCUAACCCUACCCUCUCGCAC
rnacentral:lncRNA from 1 species